rnacentral:rRNA from 1 species
GAUGAACGCUGGCGGCGUGCUUAACACAUGCAAGUUGAACGAAGAAGUCAGAGUGCUUGCACUCAGGCUUACUUAGUGGUGGACGGGUGAGUAACGCGUGGGUAACCUGCCUCACACAGGGGGAUAACAGUCGGAAACGACUGCUAAUACCGCAUAAGCGCACAGUGCCGCAUGACACAGUGUGAAAAACUCCGGUGGUGUGAGAUGGACCCGCGUCUGAUUAGCUGGUUGGUGAGGUAACGGCCCACCAAGGCGACGAUCAGUAGCCGGCCUGAGAGGGUGAACGGCCACAUUGGGACUGAGACACGGCCCAAACUCC